UACGUAGGGUGCAAGCGUUGUCCGGAAUUAUUGGGCGUAAAGAGCUCGUAGGCGGUUCGUCGCGUCGGCUGUGAAAACCUGAGGCUCAACCUCAGGCCUGCAGUCGAUACGGGCGGACUUGAGUACUGCAGGGGAGACUGGAAUUCCUGGUGUAGCGGUGAAAUGCGCAGAUAUCAGGAGGAACACCGGGGGCGAAGGCGGGUCUCUGGGCAGUAACUGACGCUGAGGAGCGAAAGCGUGGGGAGCGAACAGG
rnacentral:rRNA from 1 species